UUAAGCGAUGAUAGCCUAGGAGAUACACCUGUUCCCAUGCCGAACACAGCAGUUAAGCCCUAGAACGCCGGAAGUAGUUGGGGGCUGCCCCCUGUGAGAUAUGGAAGUCGCUUAGC
rfam:Streptococcus sp. DD11 genomic scaffold scaffold00009, whole genome shotgun sequence.